GCUCGCUUAGCUCAGGCGGUAGAGCACUUCAUUGGUAAUGAAGAGGUCGACAGUUCAAUCCUGUCUGGCAGCACCA
rnacentral:tRNA from 1 species